AUUGAACGCUGGCGGCAGGCUUAACACAUGCAAGUCGAGCGGGGUGAUGGUGCUUGCACUAUCACUUAGCGGCGGACGGGUGAGUAAUGCUUAGGAAUCUGACUAUUAGUGGGGGACAACAUCUCGAAAGGGAUGCUAAUACCGCAUACGUCCUACGGGAGAAGGCAGGGGAUCACUUGUGACCUUGCGCUAAUAGAUGAGCCUAAGUCGGAUUAGCUAGUUGGUGGGGUAAAGGCCGACCAAGGCGACGAUCUGUAGCGGGUCUGAGAGGAUGAUCCGCCACACUGGGACUGAGACACGGCCCAGACUCCUACGGGAGGCAGCAGUGGGGAAUAUUGGACAAUGGGGGGAACCCUGAUCCAGCCAUGCCGCGUGUGUGAAGAAGGCCUUAUGGUUGUAAAGCACUUUAAGCGAGGAGGAGGCUCUUUUGGUUAAUACCCAAGAUGAGUGGACGUUACUCGCAGAAUAAGCACCGGCUAACUCUGUGCCAGCAGCCGCAGUAA
rnacentral:rRNA from 1 species